AUUGAACGCUGGCGGCAGGCUUAACACAUGCAAGUCGAGCGGAGCGAGGGUGCUUGCACCUUAGCUUAGCGGCGGACGGGUGAGUAAUGCUUAGGAAUCUGCCUAUUAGUGGGGGACAACAUUCCGAAAGGAAUGCUAAUACCGCAUACGCCCUACGGGGGAAAGCAGGGGAUCUUCGGACCUUGCGCUAAUAGAUGAGCCUAAGUCGGAUUAGCUAGUUGGUGGGGUAAAGGCCUACCAAGCGACGAUCUGUAGCGGGUCUGAGAGGAUGAUCCGCCACACUGGGACUGAGACACGGCCCAGACUCCUACGGGAGGCAGCAGUGGGGAAUAUUGGACAAUGGGCGGAAGCCUGAUCCAGCCAUGCCGCGUGUGUGAAGAAGGCCUUUUGGUUGUAAAGCACUUUAAGCGAGGAAGAGGAGCUCUAGGUUAAUACCCUAGAUGCUUGGACGUUACUCGCAGAAUAAGCACCGGCUAACUCUGUGCCAGCCGCCGCCGUAAGAC
rnacentral:rRNA from 1 species